UAAAGAAAAUGAACGGCAGACUGUGAUGGC
rnacentral:piRNA from 1 species